rnacentral:lncRNA from 1 species
GGAUUUCCUCUUUUGUAAAAGUCUUGCCCCAUUUUUCUCUUGGGGUACCUGCCUUUUCUCAUGGAUUGGUAGGAAUUAUUAUUUGCUCUGGAUGCUAGCUGUGCAUAUCUUCUCCCUCAUUCUGGCUUGCCUGUUUCACUCUGUUUACGUUUGAUGAACAGAUGCUCCUAACUCUUGGCACUACAAUUUAUCAAGCUUUCCCUUUAUGCUGAGUGUUAGUCUGACUAGGAAAACUCUUUUCCACCUUGAGAUCAUGAAGGUAGCCUCCUGUGUUGCCAUGAAAGGCCUCAUUGUUUUCCUUUCACACCUAACUCUUUAUGUGGAUGUCCCUUUUAUGAAACAGCUGCUCCUUCCUCAAGCUCUGCAGGGCUUACUCUGGCACAGGACAAGAGUACGCUUGUAGGGGCUGGCCUGAUGGCGUAGCGGUUAAGUUCGCACGUUCAGCUUCUUGGCGGCCCAGGGUUCGCCAGUUUGGAUCCUGGGUGCGGACAUGGCACCGCUCAUCUAAGCCAUGCUGUGACAGGCGUCCCACAUAUAAAGUAGAGGAAGAUGGUAAUAGAUGUUAACUCAGGGCUAGUCUUCUUCAGCAAAAAGAGGAAGAUUGGCAGCAGUUAGCUCAGGGCUAAUCUUCCUCAAAAAAAAAAAAAAAAAAAGAGCCCACUUGUGUGAGAGUCCAUGGCUGGGCUCUCUCUUCUGUCAGUUGCAUUGGGUUUCUUCAUCUGUCUGAGUUCUGACGACUGCGUCUUGCUGACAGGCUUGGAAAGAGACUCUGUACCUGGUGGAUGUGGUGAUUAUCUUCUCACACCCUCUCAUGGUCUCCCAAACAAGUAGUGGGUGAGCAGCUGGCUCUGCAGGUCAGGGGGCUUUUUGUGCUUCUAGGUCCCAAGGAUGGAGGACAGAAGUGCCGUGUGGACCUGGCUGCCUAUCUCUGAGCCUGCUCGCUCUCCUCAGGCACCUGCCCUGGGCUCCAGGCUUGCAGCACCACCAUCUGCUUCUGGCCCUUUGCAGUAGCAGGAAGAAGAGAAGAGAAACAGGAAGACUCUCUUCUCCUGUGGUUUCCCUCUGGUGCCGUCUUCUGACAAAGCUAACGAUGUGCUGACUGCAAGGGAGAAAUGCCUGCAGGGUCCAGCCCACUACCACAGAGCAGGAUGCCUGCCACAGCACGGGUCCACAAACGGUGUGUAGAUGCGUACCAAGGAUCCAAACUGGCGAACCCCAGGCCACCGAAGCAGAAUGUGCAACCUUAACUGCUGUGCCACUGGGCUGGUCCCAACCCUAUGGGAUUUUUAACUGGAGUUGCACUUAAUUUAUAGGUUGACUUGGAGAGAAUGG